rnacentral:rRNA from 1 species
CACAUGCAGUCGAACGCUUCAGCAAUGAAGAGUGGCAGACGGGUGAGUAACGCGUGGGAACCUUCCCAGUGGUACGGAAUAGCCCAGGGAAACUUGGGGUAAUACCGUAUAAGCCCUUAGGGGGAAAGAUUUAUCGCCAUUGGAUGGGCCCGCGUCGGAUUAGCUUGUUGGUGGGGUAAAAGCUCACCAAGGCGACGAUCCGUAGCUGGUCUGAGAGGAUGAUCAGCCACACUGGGACUGAGACACGGCCCAGACUCCUACGGGAGGCAGCAGUGGGGAAUAUUGGACAAUGGGCGCAAGCCUGAUCCAGCCAUGCCGCGUGAGUGACGAAGGCCUUAGGGUUGUAAAGCUCUUUUGGCGGGGACGAUAAUGACGGUACCCGCAGAAUAAGCUCCGGCUAACUUCGUGCCAGCAGCCGCGGUAAUACGAAGGGAGCUAGCGUUGUUCGGAAUUACUGGGCGUAAAGCGCACGUAGGCGGACUUGUUAGUCAGGGGUGAAAUCCCGGGGCCCAACCUCGGAACUGCCUUAGAUACUGCAAGUCUGGAGUCCGGAAGAGGUGGGUGGAAUUCCUAGUGUAGAGGUGAAAUUCGUAGAUAUUAGGAAGAACACCGGUGGCGAAGGCGGCCCACUGGUCCGGUACUGACGCUGA